UAUUAAAAAUUGGAUCCAUUUAUACGGUUAAAAACUGACAUGGUUGCUGUAAUAACCAAACAGUGACAUAUACAUCAUGUUAAUGUACAAGGACCAAUUUUUAACAAAAGAAAUUGAUAGAAUUUUUAAGA
rfam:Gossypium hirsutum cultivar TM-1 unplaced genomic scaffold scaffold1822.1, whole genome shotgun sequence